rnacentral:sRNA from 1 species
CAGGCCGGUCUUCUGACUUGGCGUCAUCCGUCUGCCGCAGCCUUCCCGGCAAAACCCAGUGGCAUGAUGAAGCGGCGGGCGUCGGCCUUACAGCGUUGGGCACGUUCCGGUCUUGCACCGGAUUCCCGAUUCUCCCGCGUGAAAG